rnacentral:rRNA from 1 species
UACAGAGGUCCCAAGCGUUGUUCGGAUUUACUGGGCGUAAAGGGUGCGUAGGUGGUUGGGUAAGUCUGACGUGAAAUCUCCGGGCUCAACCCGGAAAUGGCAUUGGAUACUAUUUGACUAGAGGGUUGGAGGGGGGACUGGAAUACUUGGUGUAGCAGUGAAAUGCGUAGAUAUCAAGUGGAACACCAGUGGCGAAGGCGGCAUCCUGGACCAAUUCUGACACUGAGGAGCGAAAGCCAGGGGAGCAAACGGG